rnacentral:rRNA from 1 species
GGCCGCGGGUUGUAAAGUACUUUCAGCGAGGAGGAAAGGUUAGUAGUUAAUAANCUGCUAGCUGUGACGUUACUCGCAGAAGAAGGACCGGCUAACUCCGUGCCAGCAGCCGCGGUAAUACGGAGGGUCCGAGCGUUAAUCGGAAUUACUGGGCGUAAAGCGUACGCAGGCGGUUUGUUAAGCGAGAUGUGAAAGCCCCGGGCUCAACCUGGGAACUGCAUUUCGAACUGACAAACUAGAGUUUUGUAGAGGGUGGUAGAAUUUCAGGUGUAGCGGUGAAAUGCGUAGAGAUCUGAAGGAAUACCAGUGGCGAAGGCGGCCACCUGGACAAUAACUGACGCUCAUGUACGAAAGCGUGGGGAGCAAACGGGAUUAGAUACCCCGGUAGUCCACGCCGUAAACGAUGUCAACUAGCCGACUGGCCCCUUGAGGGCUGGGUGGCGCAGCUAACGCAUUAAGUUGACCGCCUGGGGAGUACGGCCGCAAGGUUAAAACUCAAAUGAAUUGACGGGGGCCCGCACAAGCGGUGGAGCAUGUGGUUUAAUUCGAUGCAACGCGAAGAACCUUACCUACUCUUGACAUCCACAGAAUUCGCUAGAGAUAGCUUAGUGCCUUCGGGAACUGUGAGACAGGUGCUGCAUGGCUGUCGUCAGCUCGUGU